rnacentral:rRNA from 1 species
UACAGAGGGUGCGAGCGUUAAUCGGAAUUACUGGGCGUAAAGGGCGCGUAGGCGGUUAUGUGAGUGUGAUGUGAAAGCCCCGGGCUUAACCUGGGAAGUGCAUCGCAAACGACAUAGCUAGAGUAUAUGAGAGGGUGGCGGAAUUUCCGGUGUAGCGGUGAAAUGCGUAGAGAUCGGAAGGAACGUCGAUGGCGAAGGCGGGUCUCUGGGCCGAUACUGACGCUGAGGAGCGAAAGCGUGGGGAGCGAACAGG